GCCUGACUGCCUUCCGGACGCGGGCUCGCGCCUCCCGGGCGCACCUCGGGGCCCGCGGGCCGAGUGUCGCUAGGACGUUUUCCGCAGGCCUAGCAGGCGGACCCCGCGGCUCGGAGCAAGCGGUGCAGGGGCAGGAGCGAUUCCCAUUCGAGGAGUUUGACCUCUCAUUUUAAUACAACACCCGCCUCUUAGAGGCAGCAGACCAGUCCAGCCAGGUCAAGGUGUGGACCGCACAACGGGGUGCACAGGAUUAGUUAAGCAAAGCAGGAACCCAGCUGGAAAAUUAAACGAGCCCUGGAUCUGCAAAGCAGGUCCCUUCGCGAGACCAAAGCCGUGAUCCCAACCUUAGCAACAUAAUUCUACUGGAGGUGUUGAUAUAUAUACUAAUCCAGAACAACCAUGUAGCAAGAGGAAUAAAAUGAAGUUCAGAAGUCUGUUUCGGGAAAUUUUGAAGCCCUUUAGAAAGAAAGAUUUCUACAUUUUGUUACAUGAAAUUCAUGCAAAUAUAUGUCAGGUGCCAGUGCUAUGGAGUUGUUGAAGAAUAAGCACAAUACCAUUUAUUACCACUUCUCAGUUGUAAAGAGGCUGUAACUCUGGUUGUCGAAAUAAAAUAAAAUGAAAUCUCCUAGAUGUGACACUGUGACCCCUGCCAGUUAUUUACAAACAAGUUAUCUGCACAUUUUGGGCUGUAAACAUAAAAGUAAACUCUCUGAAAGACUGCAAAUCAUCUUUAGGGUUUUCUUAAAGUAAAUACAACUAGUGGCCCAGGAACCAAAAGUUUGCUUGUUUCCAGUUAAUGUCACUGGUCACCAUAACUCACCCUUUUUCCUAUGAGGAAAUGUACAGCAUAUUUUAAAGAAAUGCAGUAUUGUUAUCUUCGUCAUAUUACCUGAAGAAUUCUAAUAAAGGAAAAAUGUUUCGGAA
ensembl:lncRNA ITGB8-AS1 ITGB8 antisense RNA 1